CCAAUAGCGUAUAUUAAAGUUGUUGCAGUUAAAAAGCUCGUAGUUGAAUUUCGGGAUCAAGGAAUCGGUCAUGCCUUGAUAUGUACUGGUUUUAUUGGUUCUCACCUUCUAAAGAACCAUAAUGUCAUUUAUUUGAUGUUAUGGGGAAUUAGGACUGUUACCUUGAAAAAAUUAGAGUGUUUAAAGCAAGCUUACGCUUGAAUACAUUAGCAUGGAAUAAUGAAAUAGGACAUCAGAUUCUAUUUUGUUGGUUUCUAGGAUCGAUGUAAUGAUUAAUAGGGAUAGUUGGGGGCAUUAGUAUUCAAUUGUCAGAGGUGAAAUUCUUGGAUUUAUUGAAGACUAACUACUGCGAAAGCAUUUGCCAAGGAUGUUUUCAUUAAUCAAGAACGAAAGUUAGGGGAUCGAAGACGAUCAGAUACCGUCGUAGUCUUAACCAUAAACUAUGCCGACUAGGGAUCGGAUGAUGUUAAUUUUAUAAUGACUCAUUCGGCACCUUACG
rnacentral:rRNA from 1 species